rnacentral:misc_RNA from 1 species
CAAAAACUAAAUGAACCAAUGCAAAUAAAAGAAAAGAAAAGCAAUGACAGCCCGAAACUAUUAGAUGCAUUUACGACUGAAAAACCAGAAACAUAACCAUCAAACUGCAUCCAGACACCCACUACCAGCCUCAUUACCUCCAUUCCUUCCCCUAUUCCAAAGUCCUAUCCCUGGUCCUAAGGAGAUGGAGAAGUAACAAAUUGCCUAGGCAAACUAAAUAUGUCCUUCCCAGCAAAAGGAGACGUCCACUCAUGCAAACUAGCAGAAGAUGACGAUUCUUUAGUUGCCCCACCAUCCCGCAUCCCUGAUAUGCAGUUACUAUUCAUACCAUUCAUGCUCGUGCCAGUACUGUUCCUCAAUAAUGAAGAAAGCCCCAACCACAACCCACCCAGUUUGGAGGAUGACAGAUUUGAAUCCAAAGUCCAAUCUAUACUGGUAUAGUCAAACUCUGGCAUCAAGCCUCCAGUAUUCCAAUCCACAUGUGAUGAUGAACCUAAAGUUCCUGCU